AUUGAACGCUAGCGGCAGGCCUAACACAUGCAAGUCGAGCGGAGCGGCGGACGGGCGCGUAAUGCAUAGGAAUCUGCCUGGUAGUGGGUGAAAACGUCCGGAAACGGGCGCUAGUACCACAAACUGUAAGAUGAGCAUAGGUCGGGUUGGCUAGUUGUUGGGGUAAAGGCCUACCAAGGCGACGAUCCGUAACUGGUCUGAGAGGAUGAGCAGUCACCCUGGAACUGAGACACGGUCCAGACCCCUACGCGAGGCAGCAGUGGGGAAUAUUGGACAAGGGGCGAAAGCCUGACCCAGCCAUGCCGCGUGUGUGAAGAAGGGCUUCGGAUUGGAAAGCUCUUUAAGUUGGGAGGCGUUACCAACAGAAUAAGCACCGGCUAACUCCGUGCCAGCAGCCGCGGUAAUUC
rnacentral:rRNA from 1 species